GCAAUGCGCACGCGCAGUGGCUUUGAAGGCGGGGCAACAAAGCCUGUGGCCGAUGUGGCGCUCCUGGGCCCGCGCUUCAGUGGUUAUGACAGUGUUCGCUCUAAGGGGAGAAGGAAUGUGUGACCAUUUCCAACGGUUAACUUGCAUUCCCCAGAUAGUUUGGAUGAGUUACAACCUAAAUCUGCAAACUCAAUACAGCCAGACCCUGGGAAGUGACCCUCUCCAAGCCUCCUGUACAAGUCCCAGGAAAAGAGCCUGUUUUCCCUUGGACAUGUGAGCAGUGAAUUACUGCUCAUUCAGAAUUUCAUGUGUAUGUGUUACUGAUGGCCAGGUUUAGAGAUACCAACCUAUUUAUUUCUAGAGGAGAGAUAUCACUAUCUUUUCAGAUAUCACUAUCAGUAGGCAGAAAAGGGUUAAUAGUAUGAUAGGGUUAAUAUGUCCUGAGGAGAGUAAAGAAACUGCAAACUGCAGAAGCACCUGAUCUGUGGCCCUGGCCAGCAUCUCUCCAUAUCCUGAUUCUGUAAGAUCAAGUGUUUAUGCAGAAAGAGAAGGGACUGAUGAUUUGAAUGUGACCAGAUGCAGGGCAUGCCCUUAUUGCCAUGCCAGCAUUUGCUAUUCAUGAUGUUAGUAUUCAAAAAUCAAGAAACACCCUUCCUGGGCCAUUGGUGUCUACUAAUCCAUUGGAAGAAAAGACUGGAAUCCACCACUUACUAGCUUCUUGGGCCUCAGUCCCCUCUUUUCUGCCAUAGCUAAGGACCACCUAACCUAGAUGGCUGUUGUUAUUGUUCAAAGGGACAUCUUUAGAGCCUCAAGCCCAGGAAUAGCCCGUGGCAGGCACCUGGUAAAUGUUAGUUUUCAUUGUCCUAUCCCAACACUAUGAAACAUGCAGCACUCUCUGCAACUGCCCCUGUGGAUUUCCAUAGGCAGGAGAGUAUCCAGUAUUGAGUGGAGCUGGUAUUCUCAGAAACGAAGCCCCUUUCCUCAUUUUGCGCCAAUCUCUUCAGUCAUUUUUACCCUAGUAGUAUAAUGCUUUGUCAAAGUCACUGUCAUCUGAUGUUAACAGUUGUUUUUGCCAGAUGACUUUUCAAAAGGUAACUUCACCAUAAUACCGGUUAAUGUGAUAAAAACACUGCAUGUAGCCAAUUUUUUUUUUUUUGAGAUGGCGUUAUUGGCUCUUGUUGCCCAGGCUAGAGUGCAGCGGCGUGAUCUUGGCUCACUGCAACCUCCACCUCGUGGGUUCAGGUAAUUCUCCUGCCUCAGCCUCCUGAGUGGCUGGGAUUACAGGCACACGCCACCAUGCCCAGCUAAUUUUUUUGUAUUUUUAGUAGAGUCGGGGUUUCACUAUAUGUUGGCCAGGCUGGUCUCGAACUCCUGACCUCAGGUGAUCCGCCUGCCUCAGCCUUCCAAAGUGCUGGGGUUACAGGUGUGAGCCACUGCGCCCAGCCAAAUAUUUUCUUAUUUAUUUAUUUAUUUUAGAGACAGGAUGCCAUUAUGUUGCCUAGUUUGGAAUGCAGUGUCUAUUUAGAGGCGUGAUCAUGGCAUACUAUAGCCUCGGCUCAAAGGACCCUGGUCUCAAAGGACCCUGCCACCUUAGCCUCCUGAGUAGCUGGGACAAGUGUGCGCCACCACACCUGGCUAAUUUUUUAAAUUUUUUGUAGAGAUAGUGUCUCGCUAUGUUGCCCACGCUGGUCUGGAAUUCCUGGACUCAAGGCCUCUUCCUGCCCUCAGCCUUCCAAAGUGUUAGGAUUACAGGGUGAGUCACCACGCCCAGCCAGUGUGAAUUUUCUAAUGCUGAGUAAGUUGUGAUCCAGAAGUAAAUGUAUCUGCAAGCUGAUUUAAAUUGUAGAUUUUCUCUUCAUUGCAUAUUUUCUGAUGUUGAAUAAAGUCUGAGUAUUAACUAAAGUUUUUGCUUCUUAAAUAUGUAAGAAUUGUCCUCAAAAUCUCUAUUCUUGAGCACAGUAGUAAAAAUAUUUUUACAUACAUUGUAUUUCAAGGGUUCUGCAUAAGCAACCUUGUUUUAUUGUGACAAUUUAUUUGGGAAUUGUAUCAAAUAUAUAAUACUGAGAUGUUCUCA
rnacentral:lncRNA from 1 species